rnacentral:tRNA from 1 species
GCCCGGUGCGCAGGCAUCGGUUACUUCCACUGAUAAUGGGCGGGUUCCGGGUUCGAGUCCCGGUCGCCGGCG